rnacentral:lncRNA from 7 species
UUUAAUGAAAAUGCCAACCUAGGAUCCUUGAACACAAAAGAAGCAACAACAGUCCAAUAGUUUUCACAAGAUGAUUGGGGCAGAUGACAAGAUGGAAGAGAGAGAGGUUGGCAAGCACUGUGAAUCAUCUCUUUUGAUCCCUACAUGCUUUUAUAGAACAAAUUGGAAAAGCAACAUCCAUGAGGAAAUACAUGAAGAUCUAACCCAUCCUGUGUGAAAAUAUUAAUUUCAUAAUGUAGGAACUGCUGUUCUAUCAAUACAUCUGAAAAACAGCCCAUAAUAAUUCAGAAGAGUUUGAAAUUUUGGGACAAAAUUGCCUUCUCUCAUAUCAGACUGAACAAAGCAGCUAUGUCCAGAGAUAUGCUUCCCUAUGAAAAGGAAAAUUAAUCUUCACGUUUUUAUUUAUGGAGGACAAGUUGGUACUUACAUGCAUCCCUGCCUCAUUGCCAGGGCAUACUGUAAUACCAGCAUUGAGAUGCAACCAGACCAGGCUCCCCUCCAGUCUGUUCUCUGAGCCCAGCCAUCUCUCGAGAAGCCUUGAUCCAUCCAUAAAGGUGUGAUCACCACCUGAGGUUGAGCAUCUCACCAGCUUGGUCCAGCUCUGCCUGCAGAAAUGUUGCAGAAUGUGUCUCAGCCAGGAACAGUUCCCACCACUUCCCAUCAAAGCAUCCUCCCAUCAACAGAGGAGCCAGGAGGAGAAGAAGAGCUCCUUGAUAUAAAAUAGCAGAAGCUCUUUUUGCUCCACUCCUCAGUCUGUUCUGUGCUUCUUUCAGGUAGGGCGAGUCCUGCCGUUUCACUGCGAAUGCUCUGUAUAGAAAGAAUAUGUGCAUUAAAUUGCCUCCGUGACCAUGUAUGACUCCUACUCUACAAAUAAAUGGGAAUAGAUAGCUCCCUUCCCUCAGGAACUUCUGUCUGCAGAAAACUGUGGAUCUCUGGGAUAUGCAGAUGAAACAUCUCUUCCUCUCCACCAAGAUAUGAAAGCAGAGAGCUCCUUCCCCUUCUGAGCUUCAGGCCAAGGGGCUCCGACACACACCGAGCAAAUGGGAAGAUGUGUGAUUAGGUAACUUCCAAACUUCAGAAACAUUUCCAUUUCAAAUUCUGACUUCCUGCCAUGCACAUACUCUUCUGUAACCAGGCUCUGAGGCAAUUUAUUAACAACUCCAGAGGAGUGAUAUCUGCAGAAUCUGUUUUUCAGCUUUUGACAGCUGAGCAGGGCUAAUGUUCCUGUUCCAGAGUGCCGUCGCGGGAGCAGUGCGUAUUCUGUAUAUUCAAUGAAGAAGUGUCCUUUGAAGGUGUAAAUGAAAUAGCUUAUCUGAAGUAAAGAGAUAAAAAAUCAAUUUAAAACAUUUUAGAUUGUUUAUCAGCAUGUUGGAAAAAAAAUACUAGAUUGACCAGCCUUUACAAAGAAGGUUUUAAACCACAAGCUACCAGUACUUCUAGGUUGCAUUUCCUGAUCGCUAAGUUAAACAUUUCAAUGGAUAGCACUGCAUUUC